rnacentral:rRNA from 1 species
AUGGAUGAGUCUACUUUGGGGAGUCUUAGACAUAGAGUGCCUAUACUUGAUGGAGAGUACUUUCAUGAGUGGAAAAAUGAGAUGCUUGUGAUCUUCAAUCAAUAUCAUUUAAACAAGUACAUUGCUAGUCCUUGUGCAUCCCAUGCUGAUCCUAUGCAUCCUACCCUUGAUGAGUCAAUUGACAUGAUUCACAAUCUUAGAACUGUUAAUCUUAUCACUAGAGGCUUGCCUAGAAACUUGAUUGUAAAUUUGCCUACUCUUGAGUGUGCCUACACUAUAUGGAAAUUUCUUGAGGAACAAUUUCCGAAUUAUUCCUUGAAAAAUCUAGAUGAAAUUCUCCAUAAAUCUAUUGCCUUAAGUAAGAUGAAUUCCAAUGAUCCUAUGUUUGGUAACUGUCUAUUUGAACUUACAAACCUUAUGCGUGCCAAAGGAAAUGUUGGAAUCAUUAGUGAUAUUAUCUCUGAAGCUACUAGAAUUCAUAAAGGAAAUCAUUGUCAAACUCAUUCUAAUGAAUCACCUUCUCUAGGAAUCGAUCCACAACAUGACAAUGUUGAACAUGGAUACUAUGAUGAUGAUGAUGAUGACUUUGAUCUUGAUGAUGCAAUGAGACACUUUGGUCUUAUGGCAAAUCUUCGGGGAUAUAUGCCAGGCGGAAAGGAAUGGGUUCUUGAUAGUGGAUGUACCGAUCACAUGACCGGAGAUAAAUACAUGUUUCGUGAGCUUGCUGAAAAUGACUGUCCUCGAAAGUUUGUCACUUUCGAUGACAACUCAAAGGGUAAAGUGGUUGGCCUUGCUAAGGUGGCCAUAUCACAUGAUAGCUCCAUAAAAAAUGUCAUGCUCGUUGAAUCUCUUGGAUACAAUUUACUUUCAGUAUCUAGACUUGCUGAUUUCGGUUUCAAUGUCCUAUUUACUAAAGUAGAUUGCCAAGUGUUUCGUAGAGAUAAUCAUCAAAUGGUCUUCACCGGCAUUCGUAGAGGUGAUCUAUAUAUUGUUGAUUUCACUAAAAAGGCUCAACCUAGAACUUGA